GGAGAGGUUGUGGCUCAGUGAUCAAGCUUUUGCUUGGUAUGCAGAAGACCCCCAGGUUCAAUCCCCAGCAUUUCCA
rnacentral:tRNA from 1 species